rnacentral:rRNA from 1 species
GAUGAACGCUAGCUACAGGCUUAACACAUGCAAGUCGAGGGGAAACGACAUCGAAAGCUUGCUUUUGAUGGGCGUCGACCGGCGCACGGGUGAGUAACGCGUAUCCAACCUGCUCACCACUUGGGGAUAACCUUGCGAAAGUAAGACUAAUACCCAAUGAUAUCUCUAGAAGACAUCUGAAAGGGAUUAAAGAUUUAUCGGUGAUGGAUGGGGAUGCGUCUGAUCAGCUUGUUGGCGGGGUAACGGCUCACCAAGGCGACGAUCAGUAGGGGUUCGGAGAGGAAGGUCCCCCGCAUUGGAACUGAGACACGGUCCAAACUCCUACGGGAGGCAGCAGUGAGGAAUAUUGGUCAAUGGGCGAGAGCCUGAACCAGCCAAGUAGCGUGCAGGAUGACGGCCCUAUGGGCUGUAAACUGCUUUUAUAAGGGAAUAAAGUGGGAGUCGUGACUCUUUUUGCAUGUACCUUAUGAAUAAGGACCGGCUAAUUCCGUGCCAGCCGCCGCCGUAA